rnacentral:rRNA from 1 species
UGGCGACCGGCGCACGGGUGAGUAACGCGUAUCCAACCUGCCCUUCACUAUGGGACAGCCCGUCGAAAGGCGGAUUAAUACCGUAUGUUGUCAUGUUGAUGCAUAUUUUCAUGACCAAAGGCUUCGGCCGGUAAAGGAUGGGGAUGCGUCUGAUUAGCUUGCCGGCGGGGUAACGGCCCACCGGGGCGACGAUCAGUAGGGGUUCUGAGAGGAAGGUCCCCCACAUUGGAACUGAGACACGGUCCAAACUCCUACGGGAGGCAGCAG